AUUCCUAGCUUGCUCUCCAAUAUCUCAACACCCAUUACAUACCCUCCAAAACACUCGGAAUGAUUUUCAGACCUUUCUAACUUGUCCCACUCCGCACUUCGGUCAAUUCGACUGAAGUUCGGUAUAACCUAUCGAAGUUUCGGUAUAUUACAUUCUCCACCCCUUAAAAAUAGUUUCGUCUACAAAACUAAACUCAUACCUUAGCUUAAAUGCUCGAAGAAGUGAGGAUAGGCCUUUCGCAUUGCCUCCUCAUGCUCCCAAGUGGCUUCACGCUCGGCGUGAUUACUCCACUAUACCUUGACAUACGGAAUGGUGCGAUUCCGCAACUUCUCCUCUC
rnacentral:lncRNA from 1 species